GCUAGGCAUGGGGGAUACAGAGACAACAACAACAACACACAGGAAAACAGCUCUGACUUUAGGGAGCUGACUUUCUGCUGGGUGGGGGUGGGGGAGACAUACGACACUGAUGAAACGAGCGCUGGAAUUCUAAACAAAGGUGGUAUUGGAGACCACGACGCGGCGGCAACGGUAUUGACAGAUCCGGAGCCAGGAAGAACGUUGGAGGUCAUCUGGUCCAACUCCGCUGUUUUGUAGAUGAGAAAACAGAGGUGAAGUCACUGGUCCAAGACAAACACAACUAAAACCCAGAAUCUGCGGCUCCAAUUCCCGGGACUCCCUGUUCCAUGAUCUCACUCAUAAGGAACCUUUCUCAGAGUUCAUUUUGGACAACUAAACCUUCUUCGAGGAGACCUUCCUUAGCGAUCACAUUCCAAUGAACAUCAUGCCAGUAAACAUAACUCUCUGCAAAGCCCACUGACCUGCCAAGCUGAAGGGAUAAUGGGUGUAACCGUGGUUUGGUAAGACAGAAGAAUUUAAACCGCCCUUUGGGGUUCGUUUUAAUGAGUCGUGACUUGCAAGGAAGGCAUGCAAGCUGUAAAGUUAUUGAAUGCCAUCAGAGGAUCCAAUCCAAGGACCACCAAAUUUCAGAGUUAGAAGGGACCACUGCAGCACUCUACUGUGAUCCAUCUCCCCAGAGAAAUCUCGAUUGUCCCCCGCCAAAUAGUCAUGCACCCUUGGCUUGCAGACCUGGAAGGACAGGAAGCUCACUACCUCCCGAGACAGCACAUUCUGGUUUUGGACAAUCCUAAUUUUUAGGAAGGUUUCCACUGACACCAAACCUCAAAUUGCCUUCCUGUAACUUUCACUCACUGUUCUAGGUCCUGUUCUCUGAGUCUAAGCAGAGCAAGGGGCAAGGAGUGGAGGAAUCUCAGUUCUGGCCCAGACUCUUGAGCCACAGUCAUCUGGGAGCCCAGGAAUCCAGGCUGGGUGUUGCAGUCGGCCCAACAGCAACUCCCUGAAGAGCAUGAGUCUGGGGAUGCUACCCCAGCUGGGCUUUGGACUUGAACUUGGUGGGACUAUGUAGGAACUGAGCUAAAUUGUGAGCCCUGAUCAGUGCCCCAGCCCUUCCCCAGAGAGCUGGCAUGGGGGUGGGGGAAAGAGGAUUAUG